CCUGAACCUGGGCCAGGAGGCGGGGCUGGGAUAGGCAGGACCCCACCUCCUGGAAGGGAGGCCAUCGAGGGGCAGGCUGGGCAGGUCCCCCACCCCAAAUGCUCCAGGGUGGGGCGAGGGGCAGGUCUUGCAGAGGCUGGGCAGAGGCUGCUCUAUGGGGAGCUGCAAUUGGAAAUGAGCAACGGUGCGCAGGAAGUGUUAACCCUGCGCAGGUUAAACGUCCAGCUCUGAGAGCUGCUCCCUCACUCCACCUGCCUCAAAGGUGAUAUUUCCCUCCCCCUCCCUAGGAGAGAGUAGCCCCUAACAGAUGCUGAUCUGGGUCUAGCUCUGUCCAGAUGGCUGAGGUUGCGCCUGGGAUAAAGGUGGAAUUAGGGAUCUGGGGCAGGGGCUGGGAAAAGCUGUCCCAGCACAGGCAGCAGCAUCCAGGUGGAGAGAGAAACAGCAAAAAAGUACGUGAGGGACCAGGGCGCCAUGACCGACCAGCUGAGCAGGCGGCAGAUCCGUGAGUACCAACUCUACAGCCGGACCAGUGGCAAGCACGUGCAGGUCACCGGGCGUCGCAUCUCCGCCACCGCAGAGGACGGCAACAAGUUUGCCCAGCGGGAAGAGCAAAGACUGCGUGUUCACGGAGAUCGUGCUGGAGAACAACUACACGGCCUUCCAGAACGCCCGGCACGAGGGCUGGUUCAUGGCCUUCACGCGGCAGGGGCGGCCCCGCCAGGCUUCCCGCAGCCGCCAGAACCAGCGCGAGGCCCACUUCAUCAAGCGCCUCUACCAAGGCCAGCUGCCCUUCCCCAAC
rnacentral:sRNA from 1 species